UAGGGAAUCUUCCGCAAUGGGCGAAAGCUUGACGGAGCAACGCCGCGUGAGUGAUGAAGGUCUUCGGAUCGUAAAACUCUGUUAUUAGGGAAGAACAAAUGUGUAAGUAACUAUGCACGUCUUGACGGUACCUAAUCAGAAAGCCACGGCUAACUACGUGCCAGCAGCCGCGGUAAUACGUAGGUGGCAAGCGUUAUCCGGAAUUAUUGGGCGUAAAGCGCGCGUAGGCGGUUUUUUAAGUCUGAUGUGAAAGCCCACGGCUCAACCGUGGAGGGUCAUUGGAAACUGGAAAACUUGAGUGCAGAAGGGGAGAGUGGAAUUCCAUGUGUAGCGGUGAAAUGCGUAGAUAUAUGGGGGAACACCGGUUGCGAAAGCGGCUCUCUGGUCUGUAACUGACGCUGAGGCUCGAAAGCGUGGGGAGCGAACAGG
rnacentral:rRNA from 1 species